rnacentral:lncRNA from 1 species
CGAUUUUCUACACUCAUCCCAUUUCAUUCUCACACUUGUCUAAAAAGGAGGGGGGUCUACCAUGAUGGCCAUUUUAAAGACGGGGAAACUGAGGCACAGAGGAAGGAGUCCCUUGGCCAAGUUCACAGAGGGGCAAACCGCAGGGUCAGGGCUGGUCUCAUUUCCAGGGCCAGGACUGCUAACCACCACCCUGCUGCCAGGUUCGCUAAGCCAAAAAGGUUUGACGAAGGCUUGUGGAAUUUUCCUGUGGAUCCUGUGCCCUUUGAUUCUUAUGCCAGAUUACACACCGCAGAUUACGUGCAAGGACGCAGACAAUUGUGUCAGAGGAAGUCGUUAGAGGUACACAGGAGAACUUCGCAGACGGAGAUACUGAGGCCCAGAGCAGGGGGGAGACGCCCCAAGUAUCUCGUGGCAGGUGGAGUGAGAAACGCUCAGGUAGUUCAGUUUCCCCUGCAAAUGGACCACCAGACAAUUGAAGGAGUUAAAUGCUUAUUAAAAGUGCAGGAGAAUUCUCACCCCCAGAUCGACCCCCCGCUCAGGGAAACUUCUGGAUGUAGGGGUUGAUGGAAGCCUCAAACCUUUCCAACCCAAUUGGGAACUGGCGAUAUUGAUUCAAGGAUCACUGGCCUCGGCAGAAAAAAAUUGCCACCAAAGAAAACCCACAGCGGCAGAAGUGAUCAUGGGCGAAACCUGACAUGGCUGAAAAAGCGUUAGGAAGAGGAAAUCGUCAGCGGAGAUGUCGUGUGGGAAGAUAGUGGGUCCUAAUGAAAACAAG